CGAAGAUGAACGCUGGCGGUAUGCUUAACACAUGCAAGUCGAACGGUCUUUUAGGAGACAGUGGCGGACGGGUGAGUAACGCGUAAGAAUCUACCCUCAGGUCGGGGACAACCACUGGAAACGGUGGCUAAUACCGGAUGUGCCGAGAGGUGAAAGGCUUGCUGCCUGGGGAAGAGCUUGCGUCUGAUUAGCUAGUUGGUAGUGUAAGGGACUACCAAGGCGACGAUCAGUAGCUGGUCUGAGAGGAUGAUCAGCCACACUGGGACUGAGACACGGCCCAGACUCCUACGGGAGGCAGCAGUGGGGAAUUUUCCGCAAUGGGCGAAAGCCUGACGGAGCAAUACCGCGUGAGGGAGGAAGGCUCUUGGGUUGUAAACCUCUUUUCUCAGGGAAGAACAGAAUGACGGUACCUGAGGAAUAAGCAUCGGCUAACUCCGUGCCAGCAGCCGCGGUAAUACGGAGGAUGCAAGCGUUAUCCGGAAUGAUUGGGCGUAAAGAGUCCGUAGGUGGCAUUGAAAGUCUGCUGUUAAAGAGUCUAGCUCAACUAGAUAAAAGCAGUGGAAACUACAAAGCUAGAGUUUGGUCGGGGCAGAAGGAAUUCCUGGUGUAGCGGUGAAAUGCGUAGAUAUCAGGAAGAACACCGGUGGCGAAGGCGUUCUGCUAGGCCGAGACUGACACUGAGGGACGAAAGCUAGGGGAGCGAAUGGGAUUAGAUACCCCAGUAGUCCUAGCCGUAAACGAUGGAUACUAGGCGUAGCUCGUAUCGACCCGAGCUGUGCCGGAGCUAACGCGUUAAGUAUCCCGCCUGGGGAGUACGCAGGCAACUGUGAAACUCAAAGGAAUUGACGGGGGCCCGCACAAGCGGUGGAGUAUGUGGUUUAAUUCGAUGCAACGCGAAGAACCUUACCAAGGCUUGACAUGUCACGAAUCCUGUAGAAACAUAGGAGUGCCUUAGGGAGCGUGAACACAGGUGGUGCAUGGCUGUCGUCAGCUCGUGUCGUGAGAUGUUGGGUUAAGUCCCGCAACGAGCGCAACCCUCGUUUUUAGUUGCCAGCAUUAAGAUGGGCACUCUAGAGAGACUGCCGGUGACAAACCGGAGGAAGGUGGGGAUGACGUCAAGUCAGCAUGCCCCUUACGUCUUGGGCUACACACGUACUACAAUGCUACGGACAAAGGGCAGCUACACAGCGAUGUGAUGCGAAUCUCAUAAACCGUAGCUCAGUUCAGAUCGAAGGCUGCAACUCGCCUUCGUGAAGGAGGAAUCGCUAGUAAUUGCAGGUCAGCAUACUGCAGUGAAUUCGUUCCCGGGCCUUGUACACACCGCCCGUCACACCAUGGAAGUUGGUCACGCCCGAAGUCGUUACCCCAACCUAUUGGAGGGGGAUGCCUAAGGUAGGACUGA
rnacentral:rRNA from 1 species